rnacentral:lncRNA from 1 species
GAUGUUUGAAGAAGAAGAGGAACAAUCCUAUCUUCUUUCCUUUUUCUUUUAUUUUCGUUUCUUUCUUUUCCGACGAGAGAGAAAGGGUAGGCUAGUGGGUACUUUUUGUUUUCUUUUCGUUUUUCUUUUUUUAAAUCCCUUUCUAUUUUCUCUUUUAAUUGGAUCCAAAGAGAAUCCUUUUCACCAAAGAGAGAGAGUGUUGUUGGAGAGUGUCCUCUCCUUUGCUAGUGGUCCACCCAACUGUCAUCCAUUAGCCAUUGAGAAAGACGUUUUUG